UGCAACCAGAGGCUGGAUUUCGUUUCUUUUCUUGCUUUCCCAGCUGCUUGACACCUCGCUAAAAACAAUGUAUUAAAUCGAUGUUAAAUCAUGUUAACCACAACCUUUUAAUUACGCAACCUAGUUCCGUUGCUUAGCAACUAUAGGAAACAAUUACAAUAAGUUCAGUACCACCUUAGUGCUUACAGAUUAGGAGACAUUAGUAUGUGUUUACUGCAUUUGUACUGUUAUACUUUUAAUUCAGAGAAGAAAAAUGUUGCUGUGUUGGGUAAAAUACAUUAGUAGUGCAAACUCUCUCCAAACGUGAGAACUACACGAUUUAAAAUACCCGGAUGUAAGUGAUUACGUGACGUCACCACAGUUUGCUAAAGUUUAAUUUAAAGAACGGGGGGAAACACGGAAUAACUAUUUCACAGAAUUAAUACCCUCAAAUUUGAAACUUGCAUGUUUUUCCAGCUGUGGAAGUUCAGGGAAAAUACCCGUUAAUGCCCGUUAACGAUGACAUUAAACACUGCCCCUUGCGGCCACGACUUCCUCUUCUUCGAACCUCGUCAAGCAGAUAUGCCAGGACCAGGAUCAACAAUAAAGAAAUGUGUGUCUUGUUCUGUGUCACUCAAUGUGGCAUGCAAGAACUGCAAGAACUGCAAAUCAGCGCAGCCCCACAAGCUGCGGUUAAAAAAAAAAUUGGAAAAAUUUGAUUGUAAAUCAAAAACAUGGGCCCAGGCCCAGAAAAAAAAUAAAACGUCAUCGCACCUAAUGGAUGAAGCUUCUUUGUUGCUGGAAAGGUUUCAGGCCCUUGGCUCCAGGGCGGUGUUAUUUAUAUCCCGCCCUGGAAUCAAAACAUGGACCAAUGAGGUGCUUCUUCCCAGGUG